GCUUGGUGGCGAUUCAGUGGUAGAAUUCUUGCCUUCCAUGCACGAGAACCUGGGUUCAAUUCCUGGCCAAUGCA
rnacentral:tRNA from 1 species